rnacentral:rRNA from 1 species
CAGCCAUAUCAUGUUGAAACACUAGUUCCCAUAUGAUCACCAAAGUUAAGCAAUAUUGUGCCUGGUCAGUACCUAGAUGGGUGACCACUUGUGAAUGCCAGGUGCUGUAAG